GACGAACGCUGGCGGCGUGCUUAACACAUGCAAGUCGAACGGAAAGGCCCUGCUUUUGUGGGGUGCUCGAGUGUCGAACGGGUGAGUAACACGUGAGUAACCUGCCCUUGACUUUGGGAUAACUUCAGGAAACUGGGGCUAAUACCGGAUAGGAGCUCCUGCUGCAUGGUGGGGGUUGGAAAGUUUCGGCGGUUGGGGAUGGACUCGCGGCUUAUCAGCUUGUUGGUGGGGUAGUGGCUUACCAAGGCUUUGACGGGUAGCCGGCCUGAGAGGGUGACCGGCCACAUUGGGACUGAGAUACGGCCCAGACUCCUACGGGAGGCGGCAGUGGGGAAUAUUGCACAAUGGGCGGAAGCCUGAUGCAGCAACGCCGCGUGCGGGAUGACGGCCUUCGGGUUGUAAACCGCUUUCGCCUGUGACGAAGCGUGAGUGACGGUAAUGGGUAAAGAAGCACCGGCUAACUACGUG
rnacentral:rRNA from 1 species